rnacentral:rRNA from 1 species
UGAGGAAUAUUGGUCAAUGGCCGGAAGGCUGAACCAGCCAAGCCGCGUGAAGGACGAAGGUGCCAAGCAUUGUAAACUUCUUUUGUCAAGGGACAAAAUCAGGCUCGAGAGCCUGACCGAGGGUACUUGAAGAAAAAGCAUCGGCUAACUCCGUGCCAGCAGCCGCGUAAUAUCGUGCU